GAACCUCCAUCAGUUUCUUCUCCGCCCACGCAAACCACCACCGGAAACACCAUCAUCACUUCCUCACUCUCUUAUUCUUCUUCGAAUUGGUUUGCCCAAGCCCUAAUCUAAUCGUAACAUCAACUCUUCUCAACUCUCCCUGCGAUCUUCCUUCCCCGUUGAUUUUUUUCAUCCUUCUCUUAUAUUUGCUCACCUUAAAUUGAUAUAUAUCCAUCUAUUCUUCUUUCAAAUGGAAUUGAAAUAGAAAAUUAGCAUGAAUUGAAAUUGGAUUUGUCAAAAUAUACCAGCUUCGAUUCAAGUUCGAUUCAUACUACGUUUUCGUACAGCAGAUACCACUUCGUAUCAAAUUUUUUGUUCCUCGAAAGUUCUUAAAUCUCGUCUUCGUAAUUUGAUUACACCAUAUUUAAAGGAACACGAUAAUUCUUCAAAGACAUUGGUAAGAACUACUUCCAAAAUGGGUCAAUUCCACGCCAUAAGUAAAAUUUUUGCUUACCGAGUUCUUUCAAAUUUUCCUUUCUUUCUGAAUUCUUAUGCAUGAAUCCAAAUUUUUUGCUUUCUGAAUCCUUAUUGUGUCUGUUCCCCUGUACCGAACUCCGUUGUUUAGACGUAGUAGUAUUGGAGAUUUAUUCAAUAUAUAAGUUUGUGAUUGUGAACAUUGGUUGUUUGUAUAAAUGCCUAACAGAAUUUUAGUAAGAUGAAUAGAUGAAGUAGAAAUUUGAUAAAGGAAACUUAAAUGGAAUUACAGCUCUCUUAGGGUUCUAUUUUUUGUUUUUUUUUUUAACUUUGAAAUUGGUGUUGAAUGCUACCUAGUAAUUUAUUAGAUCGUUAUCUUUUUAACUUUGAAAUUGGAGUAUAGUGUAGGGUCUAGCUUCGCUGGCUCUCUGGUGAGAUCUUAUGGCGAAGGGCCUCAUUGUUAAGAUUACAAAUAUCUAACUUGGAACCUUUGAAGGGAUUCUGCAGCAAAAAAUGAAAACUUGAAACUGGUAGAGUUAUUAUAUUCGUCAUCAGGUUUCAGGAAACAUUGGCCGUGCAUUGGUUUUAAUUCAUGGCUUUGGAGGAAACAAUUUUUGUAUUAUAUAUAGUUAUCUUGCUUCGAAUCUCACCGUUUUACGUAUACUAAGUGAUCAACCGUCAGUAUUACUAUGUUAUUUGAUCCACAUUGAAUUGAAUGGUCAUGAAUACAUUCAUGCAAAUGUACGUACAGUAAUUGUUUCAUGUAUAUUCAAAAAACAUGUUGUGUGAACAGAACAAGUAACCGCCAGCUGUAUGUUCGACUAAACGAUAACUAUGAUGAGUUCAAAUAAUUUUUGGUAUUGAGACCCACCGAGGGGAAGUAAACUUUUGCAUACGUCCAAUAAAGGGCAGGAUGUGACUGACACCACCGCUAGAACCACCACUGUCACGCGAUGUUGAUGUCGGAACCAGUCUUCCAUGUAAAUGAAUUGGCAAAGAUAUUCAUCACAAACUGUUGCCAAGCUCAACACGUUUCUCAUGUCGCCAGAGUUACUCUCUGAACAGUAUGGUUUUAAAAGAAGUGAGCUUAUUACCAUUAUUCAGCGAAAACCAUCGAAGGUACUGCAGCAGGUAUAACAUUUGUUCUUGCAGCUUGCUCUGUUCUCCUUCCACUUCUACCAUCAACUGGUUUUAUAAUCUCUCAGCACUGGAUCUCCCUCCUCAUAGCUGUGACUGCGAGUGGGUUAUUAGAGGUAUACACUGCACAACUCGAUAAUGCCUUCAUUCCACUGGUCUUCUACAGCCUUCUCUGUUUGUGAGUACAGGACACUAGGAAUUAUUAGAUGAGGAGCCUUCUCUGGUUCGUUUAAUAUUUUGUUCUCCUCGAGCACAAUUUUUUGAACAUAUUCUCUACUAUCCCGCGGCAAGUCAGCUGUACUAGAGAAUGAGACAGCACCUUGUAUAAUUGUACCUGAAACUGAAUAAUAUUAAAUUAGUUAUGCGAAGGUUUUGUGUUUCCUGCA